rnacentral:rRNA from 1 species
CAGCAGCCGCGGGAAAACAGAGGGUGCAAGCGUUAAUCGGAAUUACUGGGCGUAAAGCGCGCGUAGGUGGUUUGUUAAGUUGGAUGUGAAAUCCCCGGGCUCAACCUGGGAACUGCAUCCAAAACUGGCAAGCUAGAGUAUGGUAGAGGGUGGUGGAAUUUCCUGUGUAGCGGUGAAAUGCGUAGAUAUAGGAAGGAACACCAGUGGCGAAGGCGACCACCUGGACUGAUACUGACACUGAGGUGCGAAAGCGUGGGGAGCAAACAGGAUUAGAUACCCCUGUAGUCCCUGUCUCUUAUAC